AUUAAUCACCGUCUCCCUGGAGAGCGCGCCUGGACUCGGGGCCAUCACUCCGUGCGAUGAAACGAACUGAGACAAAAGCGCAGAGCAACCACUUGCCUCCCGCCGAUGGAGACGCCCUUUUACGAAGGCUUCCCGUUUCCAGAAGAACCUGCCGAAGGGAAAUUUGAGGAAAAUGCCCGUAAACCAAGAGGGAGGCAAACUGCCCGGGGCCUGGUGUUUCAAACAUCAGCUUCCUACAGGAAUUUAUCCUGGACCCAUGGAGCCACAUUGUCUUAUAAAGUGAACUGGAAACGUGAUGACUUCCUCUGUCGCCCUGCGUGAUUCCUAAAUGUCACCGAGAGACCCAAGACGUCUCAAUCUCGCCGGAUGGUGCAAACGGGAAGCCAGGGGCUUUCGGGGGUGACCCCGGUCUCGCCGACGCAGAGGGACCUCUCUCCGUGGGACGUACGUGCAGCUCGUCA